rnacentral:rRNA from 1 species
UGGGGAAUUUUGGACAAUGGGCGAAAGCCUGAUCCAGCAAUGCCGCGUGUGUGAAGAAGGCCUUCGGGUUGUAAAGCACUUUUGUCCGGAAAGAAAUCCUUGGCUCUAAUACAGUCGGGGGAUGACGGUACCGGAAGAAUAAGCACCGGCUAACUACGUGCCAGCAGCCGCGGUAAUACGUAGGGUGCAAGCGUUAAUCGGAAUUACUGGGCGUAAAGCGUGCGCAGGCGGUUUGCUAAGACCGAUGUGAAAUCCCCGGGCUCAACCUGGGAACUGCAUUGGUGACUGGCAGGCUAGAGUAUGGCAGAGGGGGGUAGAAUUCCACGUGUAGUAGUGAAAUGCGUAGAGAUGUGGAGGAAUACCGAUGGCGAAGGCAGCCCCCUGGGCCAAUACUGACGCUCAUGCACGAAAGCGUGGGGAGCAAACAGGAUUAGAUACCCUGGUAGUCCACGCCCUAAACGAUGUCAACUAGUUGUUGGGGACUUCAUUUCCUUAGUAACGUAGCUAACGCGUGAAGUUGACCGCCUGGGGAGUACGGUCGCAAGAUUAAAACUCAAUGAAUUGACGGGGUCAUAGCUGUUUCCU